rnacentral:lncRNA from 13 species
CACGAGUGUUUGAUGCGAGCUUGUAUUUCAAGAGUACCGUGGAGUGUCGAAAGUGAAGUGAAAUAUCGGGCGUUCGUGUCAACGACCGUCAUCAGUCUGAUACGAUGUACGAUGCGAAGUCGUGUCGCGUUUAAUCGUGUUUUGUAUCUUCUUCGUUGCCUCGUAUCCCGAGUUUCACAAGCGUGUGAGUACCAGAAGUGUUUCGAGAGUGCCGAAACGAAGAGCCAAGUGCCAAUCAAGAUGAAUCGGCGUGAGGAGGGUCUUGGAUCUCGAAUGUUCGACAACUGCGGCCGAGACGGAGCUGGACGGUGCGACCAGCGGCGAUCGGUGCAAGUUAAUUUGUAUUUGUUAUUCGCACCAUUCGCACCUCGUCCCCAUUGCGUUCACAUAAAUGAUCGUCGGUAUGUAUGCACAGUGCGACGAGACGAACGAAUCGAUCGCAUGAAAGCGAUUAAGAACGAUUUAAUGUUGACAUCCGUGUAUGUACGCGAGCGCGCAGUUUCGAUCAUAGACGAAGGUCUAUGGUCACCGGUUUUCUGCCAUUUUUAUGGCAGACCUCGAUCGCUUCUGGUGUCGGCUGUUCGGCGUUUUGGAAGCACAAAUUGUGCAUAGAUAACAGAAUCAACUGAAAAAGGAAUGCAGCAGUAAUAGCAACAACAAAAACCAGUGAAUUAAUUGGUCAAUUUGUUGAAAUUUAAUUGACUGAAAUACGAAGAAGAUAUGUAUCUCUUCAAAAAACGAAAAUGUCUAUUUAAGGAGACUCGUUGCGAUUGCCUCUUCCCACCUGCGGACAAUCAUCGUUGUAGGGCCGGCUUCUCACGCUGCUG